rnacentral:rRNA from 1 species
CCUACGGGAGGCAGCAGUGAGGAAUAUUGGUCAAUGGGCUUACGCCUGAACCAGCCAAGUCGCGUGAGGGAAGACUGCCCUAUGGGUUGUAAACCUCUUUUGUCAGGGAGCAAAGCCGGCUACGUGUAGCCGGACUGAGAGUACCUGAAGAAAAAGCAGCGGCGAACUCCGUGCCAGCAGCCGCGGUAAUACGGAGGAUGGGAGCGUUAUCCGGAUUUAUUGGGUUUAAAGGGUGCGUAGGCGGAAUGCCAAGUCAGCGGUAAAAUCGCGGGGCUCAACCUCGCUCCGCCGUUGAAACUGGCGUUCUUUAGUGGGCGAGACGUAUGCGGCAUGCGUGGUGUAGCGGU